rnacentral:rRNA from 1 species
AUCCGGGUUGCGGACAGUGUCUGGUGGGUAGUUUGACUGGGGCGGUCUCCUCCUAAAGAGUAACGGAGGAGCACGAAGGUUGGCUAAUCCUGGUCGGACAUCAGGAGGUUAGUGCAAUGGCAUAAGCCAGCUUGACUGCGAGCGUGACGGCGCGAGCAGGUGCGAAAGCAGGUCAUAGUGAUCCGGUGGUUCUGAAUGGAAGGGCCAUCGCUCAACGGAUAAAAGGUACUCCGGGGAUAACAGGCUGAUACCGCCCAAGAGUUCAUAUCGACGGCGGUGUUUGGCACCUCGAUGUCGGCUCAUCACAUCCUGGGGCUGAAGUAGGUCCCAAGGGUAUGGCUGUUCGCCAUUUAAAGUGGUACGCGAGCUGGGUUUAGAACGUCGUGAGACAGUUCGGUCCCUAUCUGCCGUGGGCGCUGGAGAACUGAGGGGGGCUGCUCCUAGUACGAGAGGACCGGAGUGGACGCAUCACUGGUGUUCGGGUUGUCAUGCCAAUGGCACUGCCCGGUAGCUAAAUGCGGAAGAGAUAAGUGCUGAAAGCAUCUAAGCACGAAACUUGCCCCGAGAUGAGUUCUCCCUGACCCUUUAAGGGUCCUGAAGGAACGUUGAAGACGACGACGUUGAUAGGCCGGGUGUGUAAGCGCAGCGAUGCGUUGAGCUAACCGGUACUAAUGAAC